ensembl:lncRNA
AUGCCUCCUGCUGUUCUUCUCAUCGGCUGUCUACUCGCCACAAUCAGCUGUUUAACCACAGCUCAAACUGGAAUCGCUCCAUCUGGACUGGCUACAAAUACCACAACUACCACAUCAAUUAUCUCCUUACCUAUUACAAUACCACCUACACCAGCACUGACUACAACUACACCACAACCUACACUAGCACCAACUACAACAAUGACUACAACUACAACACCGCCUACACCAGCACCAACAACAUCAUCAUCUUCACCAGCACUGGUUACAACUACAACAGCACAAACUUCAACGUCAUUUACACCACCAACUACUACAACUACAGUCCAUCCACCAGCAUCUCGCAUUAACACUGCAGAUCCUACCUUCGAUCCUGCCUUCGACUCCACUACAACUCCUACCUCCGACUCCACUACAGCUUCUACCUCCAACACCACUGCAGAUCCUACCUUCGAUCCUCCCUUCGACUCCACUACAGCUCCUACC